rnacentral:lncRNA from 1 species
UUUGAAAAGCUUAAAAGAUAAUUACAUAAUUAAAAUUUAAUUCAAUAAGUUCCAAAUAAUCCAAAUACAUUUUAUCUUUAAAAAUUUUUAUUAAACUAAAUAAUUACAUUUUUUGACUAAGUAGAAUUUGCUGCAAAAACAGGUUCCUAAUUCUAAUGACCAAGACCAAAAUCAAUGGACUGGUUAAGCACUCCUUUGGACCUAGGCGCAAAAACAUGCUGUCUUGAAGCUUGGAGCAACCACUUUUCCAUUCCAUCAAAGUCUCUUCAAACCUGUGACCUGCAAAGAGAAAAUAGCUUAUUUUAAAAGCAUUUUUCAAAAGCACUUAGAGAGCUGAAAAACAAUUAAAUGAAUCAUUUAGUUUGAAGCUUUAUUCAUAAGGUUAACCUAAGCAUCCAAAAAGCGCUUUUUACAUUAGCUUAAAACAAGAACAGAUCAAAUCCCACAUAAUCCGGGAUGAGAAAAUCGAAAAGAAAAAGGAGUUUUUAAGGCUUAAUCCUUUCUUCAUAAUAAUAACAGAAGAGAGGUUAACGGGGGGAUACACAUCACAGUAAGAGAUUUUUCAAAAGAAACUCUAAACAUAACAGCAAACACAGCAAUAAACGCAGCAAAGUUAUUUUUCUUCAAAACCCAAAAUCAAGAACAACAUAAACACAACAAAGUUAUUUUUCUUCAAAACCCAAAAUCAAGAACAACCUAAACACAAACAGAGUUUUCUUUCAAAAACCAUAAAGAACACAACAGUAAGAAAUUUCUCAAAAACCCUAAAAACUUACGGAAAAGCAAAAGGAAGGUAGUUCACCUCACUGAAGAAUCGCUCGCCGAAGAGAACCGUUGCCGGCAUCCGGAGGAUCUCACAGAACUUCCGAUUUGGUAAACGAUUCACCUCUAUCUUCCUCCAUGAGUUCCCUUUUUGUAGAUUUUUCGGUUGAGUUUGUUUUCGUAUAAUUUUAUGUCGUGUGGCUCGAAAUUAUGAGAAGGAGAAAGAGGGAAGUGGUUCAUGAAACAGAGUUAGGGAAGAGAGAGAGUGAAGCGACAGAGAAGAGCGGAGGCUCCGCCGUGAGCCGCCGCCUCCGAUCGUCUUCUCCAAGAGAGAAGAAAUUUAGGGUUCGUGAAAGGAGGCACUCUGUACAGAGCCCUUUCGUUUGAGUUUGGUAUGAAGAGAGAGAAAAGCUUU